GGGGGGCGGGGGGGGGGGGGGUGGGGCGGGGAAGUCGAGCGGGGGGGGCGUGCUUGUGGGGGGUGCUGGAGUGGCGAACGGGUGCGUAACAGGUGAGUAGCGUGGCUUGGGCUUUGGGAUAGCUUGAGGACACUGGGGCUAAUACCUGAUAGGCGCUGCUGCUGCAUGGUGGGGUUGGGAAAGUUUCGGCGGGUGGGGCUGGACUCGCGGCUUAGCCGGGUGUUGGUGUAGUAGUGGCUUGCCAGGGCUUGUACGGGAAGCCGGCCUGGGAGGGUGACCGGCCACAUUGGGACUGAGGUACGGCCCAGACUCCUCCGGGAGGCAGCAGUGGGGAAUAGUGCACAAUGGGCGGAAGCCUGAUGCAGCAACGCCGCGUGCGGGAUGACGGCCUUCGGGUUGUAAACCGCUUUCGCCUGUGACGAAGCGUGAGUGACGGUAAUGGGUAAAGAAGCACCGGCUAACUACGUG
rnacentral:rRNA from 1 species